GAGAGUUUAUUGGGGGAGACAUCAAAGCGUGGUGCUGCAUAAUUCCUACUCCCGUCACGUUGCGCUAACACAGCCCCCUCACUCCUGAUCCACUUGCUGUGCCUGCCAGCUUCUGAAUGCACUAUGAGGUGCAUGAGAGGCAUUUCAGCAGCUGAGAGGGCUGAGAGGGCUUUUCACCUGGAACAGUGUGUCCAGCCUAAGAGGUGAGGGGAAACUUCACUGGGCUCAUCCUCCUCAUCCAAUUUUCUCUACAGUCUGUGGGCAGGAGGGGUUGGCCCUCAGAGGAAGCCAGUAGGUGAACCCAAUUUCAGGCUAACCCUGCCAGAUUUCUACCUCCAGAGUAAGUAAUAUGUACUCUUUCUCAUCUUUUAAAAGGGAUCAGAUUGGUUAGCAGUGGUCACAGCCUCCCAAGGAACUGCUUCUUUGUCUCAUGUCCCUUCUAGUAUCACUGCUUCCAAGGUGCUAUCUUCCUUCCUGUAUGAAAGACCUACUUUCUUUGUUUCCUAAACAGCAAUAAAUUUGUCUCCAGUGACUGCUUGAAAUCAAACCAUAACCAAAUCAUUAUCCAGAAACUGUGCUUCUAUUGAACAUUAUUGAUGUUGUGGAACAAAGGCACACUGCUGAUGACAUCUGCAACCAGUACCAGAGAAUGGCUAAGGGGCAGAUAACAAAGAGGUCAGGUCGUAGGGAGAUUGAUUGUUCAGCUGGGUGCAAACAUGUGCUCCAACAUGUGUCUGAUGAACAUUGGUAGCAGUGCAAUGGGAAGGCUCCGAGGCCUACCUCUGUCCAGCUCACGGGAAAGAAGGUUGAGAAGUGGACUUCUCUCUACUUGCCACCACCUGAAUCAGGACAGAUAUUUGACAGCGGAAUGCUCUUCAUUCUAGCAGUGCAAUGGUCCCUGGAACAAUCAGCCAAGGCUGAGGUGGUUUCUCCUUCACAGGUAAUUUAAUUCUGUGGUGUUUUUCUUAAAGGUGGAGCUUUUAUCACUUUCAGGAGACCUACUGAGCCCAAGAUGUGUAUAAGAUCAGAAGAGUCACAGUGGUAAAUUUCUGUCUUUACACUCUAUCGUGUUCCAUGCAAGGGGAACAGAGUAGCUGGAGAAAGUGGUCCAAUGUCACAGAUAAGUCAUAUGCUUAGCCUCCGAUAAAGCAUGAUGGGGAGAAAGGGGAAUUUAUAGUGCUGUCACACCUUGAAAGGACUCUGAUAUCUGUGUGAGGGUGCCGAUACACACGUUCGUCCUUCAGGCCUAUUUGAAGUAAAGACUUCCAAGAAGAAUGUCUUAUUUUACCAGUCCCAAAAGUGUAACUCCGGUUUGCUUAGUCUCAACAUCAGAUUGACAUCAUGUUCAGUAAUAUUACUGCUACUUUGCAUCUGAGGGACAGAUUAGUGGUCUCUUCCAGGAUGGAUUUAUACUGUGUAUCCCUGAAGUUGCUCUGUGUGUCCAGAUGAUGGUACAUGGAGAGCACGGCGUGGCAGCUGGUGCUAGAGGAAACUGGAAGAGGAUGGUGGUCACUG
rnacentral:lncRNA from 7 species